GAUUAACGCUGGCGGUAUGCCUAACACAUGCAAGUCGAACGAGGGUAGCAAUACCUUAGUGGCGAACGGGUGAGUAAUAUAUCGGAACGUACCCUAGAGUGGGGGACAACCAGUCGAAAGACUGGCUAAUACCGCAUACGAUCUCUGGAUGAAAGUGGGGGACCGCAAGGCCUCACGCUCCUGGAGCGGCCGAUAUCUGAUUAGCUAGUUGGUAGGGUAAAAGCCUACCAAGGCAUCGAUCAGUAGCUGGUCUGAGAGGACGAUCAGCCACACUGGGACUGAGACACGGCCCAGACUCCUACGGGAGGCAGCAGUGGGGAAUUUUGGACAAUGGGGGAAACCCUGAUCCAGCAAUGCCGCGUGAGUGAAGAAGGCCUUCGGGUUGUAAAGCUCUUUUGUCAGGGAAGAAAAGGCUAUGGCUAAUAUCCAUGGCUGAUGACGGUACCUGAAGAAUAAGCACCGGCUAACUACGUGCCAGCCGCCGCGGUAA
rnacentral:rRNA from 1 species